rnacentral:rRNA from 1 species
GAGGGAUGCGAACUGUGAAGUGACCGAAGAUGCAGGAAGAAGUCCUACGGGGCGGGCGCCUGGAUGACUGAGUGGCGGACGGGUGAGUAACGCGUGGGCAACCUACCCCAUACAGGGGGAUAACAGCCGGAAACGGCUGCUAAUACCGCAUAAACCAGGGAGGCGCAUGCCUUUGUGGGGAAAGCUCCGGCGGUAUGGGAGGGGCCCGCGUCUGAUUAGCUUGUUGGCGGGGCAGCGGCCCACCAAGGCGACGAUCAGUAGCCGGCCUGAGAGGGCGGACGGCCACAUUGGGACUGAGACACGGCCCAAACUCCUACGGGAGGCAGCAGUGGGGGAUAUUGCACAAUGGGGGAAACCCUGAUGCAGCGACGCCGCGUGGGCGAAGAAGUAUUUCGGUAUGUAAAGCCCUAUCAGCAGGGAAGAAGAAAUGACGGUACCUGAGUAAGAAGCACCGGCUAAAUACGUGCCAGCAGCCGCGGUAAUACGUAUGGUGCAAGCGUUAUCCGGAUUUACUGGGUGUAAAGGGAGCGCAGGCGGCACGGCAAGCCUGAUGUGAAAGCCCGCGGCCCAACCGCGGGACUGCAUUGGGAACUACCGGGCUGGAGUGCCGGAGAGGUAGGCGGAAUUCCUAGUGUAGCGGUGAAAUGCGUAGAUAUUAGGAGGAACACCAGUGGCGAAGGCGGCCUACUGGACGGUGACUGACGCUGAGGCUCGAAAGCGUGGGGAGCAAACAGGAUUAGAUACCCUGGU